AUUGAACGCUGGCGGCAGGCCUAACACGUGCAAGUCGAACGGUAACAGGAAGAAGCUUGCUUCUUUGCUGACGAGUGGCGGACGGGUGAGGAAUGUCUGGGAAACUGCCUGAUGGAGGGGGAUAACUACUGGAAACGGUAGCUAAUACCGCAUAACGUCGCAAGACCAAAGAGGGGGAACUUCGGGCCUCUUGCCAUCGGAUGUGCCCAGAUGGGAUUAGCUAGUAGGUGGGGUAACGGCUCACCUAGGCGCCGAUCCCUAGCUGGUCUGAGAGGAUGACCAGCCACACUGGAACUGAGAAGCGGUCCAGACUCCUACGGGAGGCAGCAGUGGGGAAUAUUGCACAAUGGGCGCAAGCCUGAUGCAGCCAUGCCGCGUGUAUGAAGAAGGCCUUCGGGUUGUAAAGUACUUUCAGCGGGGAGGAAGGGAGUAAAGUUAAUACCUUUGCUCAUUGACGUUACCCGCAGAAGAAGCACCGGCUAACUCCGU
rnacentral:rRNA from 1 species